ensembl:lncRNA
UUGAAGAACGUGGCUGUGGCUAGAGAAGUCUUGCAACUGGGAGCUUUUAGUGCAUAACUACAGAUUUUAUAUACACCUGGUAAGGGGAAAGAGUAGACAAGGGCAAGUCGCAGUAAGGGUGUUUCAUCCUGCACUUGAGAGAAGAGUAAAGGAGGAUGUGAAGAAUAAAAACAAUUAAUAAUUUAGUUAUCCUCGUUAUCUGAGGAUGUAUUCCAUGUUAUGUUAAAGAUAAUGUGAAAUGAUGAGUUCGUGUCGUUUGUAGGGACAUGGAUGAAUCUGGAGAACGUCAUCCUCAGCAAACUGACACAAGAACAGAAAAUGAAACACCGCAUAUUCUCACUCAUAGAUCACCAGCUGUCUGUUGUAACGCUCACCAUGUCCUGGCUGGCACUUUCGGCCUUUGGUGGCCUAUGUGACAGCUGCCACAGUCUGAGAAUCCAAGGAAGCCUCUGGAGAGGAUAAGCAGGAAUCCUGUCACCCUGAGGACACCAGCGCAGAACAACGUGGUUUGCAGAAAAGGUGUUGGCUGCCAGCUGUAGCCCAGAGGUCACAGCCUGGCAGCCCACAGGCUCUAUUCGACCUAGAGAGAGGUGUUUUCUGCCCACACAAUAGUUAAGAUUUAGACAAUUUCAUGGGGGCAAACAAUCCAGUUCUGUGACUUCUCUUGGGAAACCUGAAGACCCAGAAACCCUUAAAUUCCCACUUGGCAACUUUUGGCUGGAUCUGAGUAGCAUCUGUUCCCUUUAAACUCCAGUUCAUCCCAUGCCUAGUGUUUGUAUUAUUGCUAAUUUUAUCAAUAAUAGUCUCUAUAUUCUUAUCUGCAUAAAAAUGGGAAACAAAACAAAUUGCUGUGUUGAGCUAACCCGGCCUGAUCCUAAUCAGCAGUGAAACACACCCGACUCCCUUGGCUCACCAGUGCUCCUCUAACCAUCAGGUAGCUUUCUUUCAGAGUUGCCUGCAGCGAGAGACUGUGCUGGUCAGCUGGCAUGAAUAUCUAUUUUGUUUGACAGCUGUUUCUUACUGGAAAUGAAUAAAUUGUGAUUCUGACCGACUCAUUCGUCUUCAGUACUCUUUUCUUUUUUAGCCUAAAUCAGCAUUUCCAAAUCCAGUUAACUUUGAUACAUUUAUGAGGGUGUUUUUAUGAGCCUAUGUGGCACAGGACCAGGCUCUCAACGUCAAUUCAUGU